rnacentral:rRNA from 1 species
UACGAAGGGGGCUAGCGUUGCUCGGAAUGACUGGGCGUAAAGGGCGCGUAGGCGGAUGGCACAGUCAGAUGUGAAAUUCCCGGGCUUAACCUGGGGGCUGCAUUUGAUACGUGUUGUCUCGAGUGAGGAAGAGGGUCGUGGAAUUCCCAGUGUAGAGGUGAAAUUCGUAGAUAUUGGGAAGAACACCGGUGGCGAAGGCGGCGACCUGGUCCUUGACUGACGCUGAGGCGCGAAAGCCAGGGGAGCAAACGGG